ensembl:lncRNA
AGAGGAUAGAGAAGAGGAUAGAGCAGUGGAUAUAGAAGAGGAUAGAGAAGAGGAUAGAGAAGAGGAUAGAGCAGUGGAUAUAGAAGAGGAUAAAGCAAGGGGGUAGAGAAGAGGAUAGAGAAGAGGAUAGAGCAGGGGGUGGAGAACCGGAUAGAGCAGGGAAUAGAGAAGAAGAUAGAGCAGGGGAUGGAGAAGAGUAUAGAGCAGGGGGAUAGAGAAGAGGAUAGAGCAGGGGAUAGGUAAGAGGAUAGAGAGGAGGAUAGAGCAGGGGAUAGGUAAGAGGAUAGAGAGGAGGAUAGAGAAGAGGAUAGAGCAGGGGGAUAGAAAAGAGGAUAGAACCGGGGAUAGAGAAUAGGAUAGAGCAAGGGAUGGGGGGACUGAUGGGGGGACGGAUUGAAGAAAAUGCUGAAAGGUUAAGUGCCUCAUUAGCCUGAAGCUGAGGGCGAUUUUAACUUAAUUUAAAUUUGAGAUAGGAAUGAUCUCAUUAAGACAGAGGUACUUUCAAAUGCAGAUGUACAAAUAAAUCAACUGUCCAUGCUGAUACAAAGACUGGGACAGGAACUUUGGAUAAGGGAUUUCGGAUAACGGACUUUUGAUAAGGGACUCUGGAUUAGGGACUUUGGAUAAGGGACUCUGGAUUAGGGACUUUGGAUAAGGGACUCUGGAUAAGGGACUCUGGAAAAGGGACUCUGGAUAAGGGACUUUGGAUAGGGGACUCUGGAUAAGGGACUCUGGAUAAGGAACUUUGGAUAAGGGACUUUGAAUAAGGGACUCUGGAUAAGGGACUUUGGAUAGGGGACUCUGGAUAAUUGACUCUGGAUAAGGGACUUUGGAUAAGGGACUCUGGAUAAGGGACUCUGGAUAAGGGACUCUGGAUAAGGGACUUUGGAUAAGGGACUCUGGAUAAGGGACUCUGGAUAAGGGACUCUGGAUAAGGGACUCUGGAUAAGGGACUUUGGAUAAGGGACUCUGGAUAAGGGACUCUGGAUAAGGGACUCUGGAUAAGGGACUCUGGAUAAGGGACUUUGGAUAAGGGACUCUGGAUAAGAGAAGUAAAAUGUAGUUGCACAAACAGAAAAUGAAUGCACAGAUGAUUUUAAGUCGCUUAGGAUAAAAGUGUCUGCUAAAUGUCAUGUAUUAUUAUAAUUAUAAUAAGUACCUCUGCACACCUGCUCUGGCUAAGACAUGUCUAACUUGGAGGUCAUAACAGAUAUGCAGUGUGUUCAGUGAGGCAGGGUUCAAAGAACCUGGCACUGUCCCUGGGUUUGUCUGCACCACUAUUUGGCCUCUGACCCCUAUUCAGAUUCCCUCUCUGUUCUACCAAGACCAGAAGGGUAGUACCUGAGCGUAUCUCUGAAGGUUCCGUAACAGCUCUCUGUGACCUUAUUGCCAGACUCUGGUGCAGAAACCACAUUUUUCUUUUGGACGAUUGAGUCAGUUUUUCUUCUGUCUUGUGUUGAGGCUGCAACUGUUUCUGGACUUCAUUUCCCACCGUACCAUCAGACCAUGACUACCAGAGACGACUCUGUCCUGUCCUUGAUUUCCUGCUGCAGAGAAUCCUUGUAAUCAGUAAUGGCCUCAGAUCCCCUUGAUACACUACUUAUUUUACGAUUUGAUGCUUUUCAUUUUACAUUUGGAUAUUCUUGUUUUGUAGAGUGCCGUAAGUCGCUUAGCGUAUCAUGAGUGAUCAGACAUACAGUGGGGCAAAAAAGUAUUUAGUCAGCCACCAAUUGUGCAAGUUCUCGCAAGUUCUUCUCUGUAAUUUUCAUCAUAGGUACACUUCAACUAUGACAGACAAAAUGAGAGAAAAAAAAUCCAGAAAAUCACAUGGUAGGAUUUUUAAUGAAUUAAUUAGCAAAUUGUGG